UACGAAGGGGCUAGCGUUGCUCGGAAUUACUGGGCGUAAAGCGCACGUAGGCGGCUUUCUAAGUCGGGGGUGAAAUCCUGGAGCUCAACUCCAGAACUGCCUUCGAUACUGGAGAGCUUGAGUCCGGGAGAGGUGAGUGGAACUGCGAGUGUAGAGGUGAAAUUCGUAGAUAUUCGCAAGAACACCAGUGGCGAAGGCGGCUCACUGGCCCGGUACUGACGCUGAGGUGCGAAAGCGUGGGAGCAACA
rnacentral:rRNA from 1 species